rnacentral:rRNA from 1 species
UACGUAGGGUGCGAGCGUUAAUCGGAAUUACUGGGCGUAAAGCGUGCGCAGGCGGCGCGUUAAGACAGGUGUGAAAGCCCCGAGCUUAACUUGGGAAUUGCGCUUGUGACUGGCGUGCUGGAGUGUGGCAGAGGGAGGUGGAAUUCCACGUGUAGCAGUGAAAUGCGUAGAGAUGUGGAGGAACACCGAUGGCGAAGGCAGCCUCCUGGGCCAGCACUGACGCUCAUGCACGAAAGCUAGGGGAGCAAACAGG